AGAGUUUGAUCCUGGCUCAGAGCGAACGCUGGCGGCAGGCCUAACACAUGCAAGUCGAACGGACCCUUCGGGGUUAGUGGCGGACGGGUGAGUAACACGUGGGAACGUGCCCUUUGGUACGGAACAACUCAGGGAAACUUGAGCUAAUACCGUAUGUGCCCUUCGGGGGAAAGAUUUAUCGCCAUUGGAGCGGCCCGCGUCUGAUUAGCUAGUUGGUGAGGUAAAGGCUCACCAAGGCUACGAUCAGUAGCUGGUCUGAGAGGAUGAUCAGCCACACUGGGACUGAGACACGGCCCAGACUCCUACGGGAGGCAGCAGUGGGGAAUCUUGCGCAAUGGGCGAAAGCCUGACGCAGCCAUGCCGCGUGAAUGAUGAAGGUCUUAGGAUUGUAAAAUUCUUUCACCGGGGACGAUAAUGACGGUACCCGGAGAAGAAGCCCCGGCUAACUUCGUG
rnacentral:rRNA from 1 species